rnacentral:rRNA from 2 species
CCGUAGUGAACCUGCGGAAGGAUCAUUA